AAAACAUUUUCUUUAUGUGGGUUUUUAACUUCUUGACUGAAGCACAUUUGAGAUAGAAAAGUAUUUGGAGCCAGCUUCACUUCAGCAGAACCAGACUCUGAGGACCCCACAAGCUAUCACAGCUCUGCCUUUCCACCGUGCAGCAGGAGGCUGGAGGUGACGGAUCCUCUUAGGGGGCAACAACAAAUCUACCGAGAUUCAAUUAUUGAUGAGAAGCCUCAAAGGUGCUGUCGCUCCAUCUUUACUUUACUUGAUGCAGCUGAAGAAAUGCUCACAACAUAGUCAUCAACAAGCAAAAGCAGAUGAGUAAUCAUCCAAACCUGAAUGAUGACUGUCUCCAUAUCAAGUGAGAUGGAGAGAUAAUCUCGUGCACUUGAAAGCAACAUCAAGUGAAUACGUGUUACCUUCUGA